rnacentral:tRNA from 1 species
GGGCGCAUAGCUCAGCUGGUAGAGCACCUGGAUCACAACCAGGGGGUCACAGGUUCAAGUCCUGUUGCGCCCACCA